rnacentral:rRNA from 1 species
CAGCACCUUCGGGUGCUGAGCCGAGCGGCGGACGGGUGAGGAACACGUGAGCAACCUGUCUCUGUGCGGGGGACAACCCGGGGAAACUCGGGCUAAUACCGCAUGGUCCCACGCCCCGCCUGGGGUGUGGGGGAAAGGUGGCCUCUUCAUGAAAGCUACCGUGCAGAGAGGGGCUCGCGGCCUAUCAGCUUGUUGGUGAGGUAGCGGCUCACCAAGGCGACGAUGGGUAGCCGGCCUGAGAGGGUGAUCGGCCACACUGGGACUGAGACACGGCCCAGACUCCUACGGGAGGCAGCAGUGGGGAAUCUUCCGCAAUGGACGAAAGUCUGACGGAGCAACGCCGCGUGAGUGAAGAAGGUUUUCGGAUCGUAAAGCUCUGUCUUAAGGGAAGAACGGGUCAGGGAGGAAAUGCCUUGGCAAUGACGGUACCUUAAGAGGAAGCCCCGGCUAACUACGUGCCAGCAGCCGCGGUAAUACGUAGGGGGCGAGCGUUGUCCGGAAUUACUGGGCGUAAAGCGCAUGUAGGCGGCCUGUUAAGUCAGGUGUGAAAACUGACGGCUCAACCGUGAGAUUGCACAUGAAACUGGCAGGCUUGAGGGCAGGAGAGGAGAGCGGAAUUCCUAGUGUAGCGGUGAAAUGCGUAGAUAUUAGGAGGAACACCAGUGGCGAAGGCGGCUCUCUGGACUGAACCUGACGCUGAGGUGCGAAAGCUAGGGUAGCGAACGGGAUUAGAUACCCCGGUAGUCCUAGCCGUAAACGAUGGGCACUAGGUGUAGGAGGUAUCGACCCCUUCUGUGCCGGAGCAAACGCAAUAAGUGCCCCGCCUGGGGAGUACGGCCGCAAGGCUGAAACUCAAAGGAAUUGACGGGGGCCCGCACAAGCAGUGGAGCAUGUGGUUUAAUUCGACGCAACGCGAAGAACCUUACCAGGGUUUGACAUCUUCUUAAGGCUGCAGAGAUGUAGCCAACCGGCCUUGGUCGGAGAGAAAGACAGGCGGUGCAUGGUUGUCGUCAGCUCGUGUCGUGAGAUGUUGGGUUAAGUCCCGCAACGGCGCAACCCCUGUACUUUGUUGCUAACGAGUAGAGUUGAGCACUCAAAGUAGACUGCCGGAGACAAUUCGGAGGAAGGUGGGGACGACGUCAAAUCAUCAUGCCCUUUAUGCCCUGGGCUACACACGUGCUACAAUGGUCUGAACAACGGGAAGCGACGGGGCGACCCUGAGCCAAUCCUUCAAAGCAGGCCUCAGUUCGGAUUGCAGGCUGCAACCCGCCUGCAUGAAGCUGGAAUUGCUAGUAAUCGCGGAUCAGCAUGCCGCGGU